rnacentral:rRNA from 1 species
UACGUAGGGUGCAAGCGUUGUCCGGAAUUAUUGGGCGUAAAGAGCUCGUAGGCGGUUUGUCGCGUCGAAUGUGAAAACCCGGGGCUCAACCCCGGGCCUGCAUUCGAUACGGGCAGACUAGAGUUCGGUAGGGGAGUCUGGAAUUCCUGGUGUAGCGGUGAAAUGCGCAGAUAUCAGGAGGAACACCGGUGGCGAAGGCGGGACUCUGGGCCGAUACUGACGCUGAGGAGCGAAAGCGUGGGGAGCGAACGGG